rnacentral:rRNA from 1 species
GGAAAAGAAACCAACAGGGAUUGCCUCAGUAACGGCGAGUGAAGCGGCAAAAGCUCAAAUUUUAAAGCUGGCACCUCCGGUGUCCGCGUUGUAAUUUUGUGAGGCAUCUCCGGGUGGGGCGCCGGCCUAAGUUCCUUGGAACAGGACGUCAUAGAGGGUGAGAAUCCCGUGCUUGGCUGGCUGUCCCCGUCCAUGUGAGGUGUCUUCGACGAGUCGAGUUGUUUGGGAAUGCAGCUCAAAAUGGGUGGUAAAUUUCAUCUAAAGCUAAAUAUUGGUGGGAGACCGAUAGCGCACAAGUAGAGUGAUCGAAAGAUGAAAAGCACUUUGAAAAUAGAGUUAAAAAGUACGUGAAAUUGUUGAAAGGGAAGCGCUUGAGACCAGACUUCGGUGGGGAGUGAUCAGCCGUCCUUCUGGGCGGUGCACUUGCCCCCCUCCGGGCCAGCAUCGGUUGGGACGGCGGGAUAAAGGUCCCGGGAAUGUGGCUCCUCUCGGGGAGUGUUAUAGCCCGGGUGAAUGCCGCCAGCCCCGACCGAGGACCGCGCCUUCGGGCUAGGAUGCUUGGCAUAAUGGUCUUCAGCGA